rnacentral:misc_RNA from 1 species
AUGAUUUUGUGAGAUUCAAUUGAAUUAUUUUCUUGCAAAUAAUUUAUUCCAAAAGAAGCCAAUAAGCUUAACCUAUAAACGGCGGGUUAUGCUAACACAACCUAAGGUUUCAAUGCUGGAAUUAGUAGGCAGAUCAAGAACGGGUGGAAAAUAGUUCAAAGCAUAAACCAAAUGAAAUUCCUCCAUAUGAUCUGCUUUUCCUGUGUACAUAUAUCAAGAAGAAACAGACAACUGAGUUUAAAAUUAAUCUAAACUUACAUACCAGUACACCAGUAAGUGCCAAAAA